rnacentral:rRNA from 1 species
UACGGGGGGAGCAAACGUUGUUCGGAAUCACUGGGCGUAAAGGGCGUGUAGGCGGCUGAAUGAGUGGGAUGUUAAAUCCCCCGGCUCAACCCUGGAAAGCCGGUGGAUACUGUCGGGCUAGAGUCCGGAAGAGGCGAGUGGAAUUCCUGGUGUAGCGGUGGAAUGCGCAGAUAUCAGGAGGAACACCGAUGGCGAAGGCAGCUCGCUGGGACGGUACUGACGCUGAGGCGCGAAAGCGUGGGGAGUGAACAGG